GACGAACGCUGGCGGCGUGCCUAAUACAUGCAAGUCGAGCGAAGUGGAGAGAGCUUGCUCUCGAAGCUUAGCGGCGAACGGGUGAGUAACACGUGGGCAACCUGCCCGAUAGACCGGGAUAACUUGGGGAAACUCAAGCUAAUACCGGAUAGGAUCAUUAACCGCCUGGUUGGUGAUGGAAAGUCUGAACGACACUAUCGGAUGGGCCCGCGGCGCAUUAGCUAGUUGGUGGGGUAACGGCCUACCAAGGCGACGAUGCGUAGCCGACCUGAGAGGGUGACCGGCCACACUGGGACUGAGACACGGCCCAGACUCCUACGGGAGGCAGCAGUAGGGAAUCUUCCACAAUGGGCGAAAGCCUGAUGGAGCAACGCCGCGUGAGUGAUGAAGGUUUUCGGAUCGUAAAACUCUGUUGUUAGGGAAGAACACCCGGGAGAGGAUCCCGGUUUGACGGUACCUGACGAGAAAGCCCCGGCUAACUACGUGCCAGCAGCCGCAGUAAGAC
rnacentral:rRNA from 1 species